AACGAACGCUGGCGGCAUGCCUAACACAUGCAAGUCGAACGAGACCUUCGGGUCUAGUGGCGCACGGGUGCGUAACGCGUGGGAACCUGCCCUUAGGUUCGGAAUAACUCCCCGAAAGGGGUGCUAAUACCGGAUAAUGUCUUCGGACCAAAGAUUUAUCGCCUUUGGAUGGGCCCGCGUUGGAUUAGCUAGUUGGUAGGGUAAAAGCCUACCAAGGCGACGAUCCAUAGCUGGUCUGAGAGGAUGAUCAGCCACACUGGGACUGAGACACGGCCCAGACCCCUACGGGGGGAAGCAGGGGGGAAUAUUGGACAAUGGGCGAAAGCCUAAUCCAGCAAUGCCGGGGGAGGUAUGAAGGCCUUAGGGUUGUAAAGCUUUUUUACCCGGGAUGAUAAUGACAGUACCGGGAGAAAAAGCUCCGGCUAACCCCGU
rnacentral:rRNA from 1 species